UAGGUAACAUUCCUAUUGGUUCAGGAUAACCUGCCGAAAGGUGGGCUAAUACUGGAUAAGUUCCCUCGGGAUUCGUCUUGGGGGAAGAAAGCAGGGCAACUUGCGCCGAAUGAUUGGCCUGCGUCCCAUCAGCUAGUUGGUGAGGUAACGGCUCACCAAGGCUACGACGGGUAGCUGGUCUGAGAGGAUGAUCAGCCACACUGGGACUGAGACACGGCCCAGACUCCUAGGNG
rnacentral:rRNA from 1 species